AUGGAGGCGCAUUUAGAGCAACCUAAUCUUAGUGAGCAGCCAUCUGUGACUCUGAAUCAAUUUUUUUUUUCUUUUGAUCUAAAAUGUACAACUAAUCUUACUCGCAUUAGGAAAAGACGAACUUCAAUUAUAGGGUUUAUGACUCCCAAUUUUCAUUGGUUCCCUUUUUGUACAUUUAUGACAUUGAAAUUUAAGGGCUAAUGGUAAACAAGGAUUGAGUUCAUCAAGAUAGUGGUUAAGGUCAAAGACAAUCCAAAAUUAAACUCACACUUGCCCUCAUAAUAUUACCUGUAAAAGUAAAGCGUAUUUAAAGAUUCAAGCUUCUGCAUCUUUUAACAAACUAUAGUGUCUCUUGAAUCCUAUGCCAUCCGCUUUGUAUUCUACACCUCACCUUUUGUGGGUCUGUAGAAAGUUUAGUGGAUAUCAUUUUGAGUGCGGCUUGGGAGCGGAAGCAGCAUAUCUCAUAUUGGAUUUUUAGUUUCGGUUUCUUGUGAGAGGCUGAGAGUAUCAUGUUUUGGGACCUCAAGAGCAGCCAUCAUUAAUAUUCAAUCACUGUAGUGAAUUUACUUGCACCUUUAGUUUGGAUGUCGACUUGAAGCCAAACACUGAAAAGAAGUGCGUUUUAUG
rnacentral:lncRNA from 1 species